GUUCUGUGAACGUAUUCUUGUGUUCUGUAGAUCAGUGCUUUUAGAAAAUUUGUGUGAUCUGGAGAACACAAAGAAUACCUACACAGAACCAUCUGC
ensembl:miRNA